rnacentral:rRNA from 1 species
UACCACAUCCAAGGAAGGCAGCAGGCGCGCAAAUUACCCACUCCCGGAACGGGGAGGUAGUGANGAAAAAUAACAAUACGGGACUNUAUUGAGGCCCCGUAAUUGGAAUGAGUACACUCUAAAUCCUUUAACGAGGAUCAAUUGGAGGGCAAGUCUGGUGCCAGCCGCCGCGGUAAUUCCAGCUCCAAUAGCGUAUAUUAAAGUUGUUGCGGUUAAAAAGCUCGUAGUUGGAUCUCAGUCGCAGACGGGAAGUCCAUCUAACCGGUGUGACGGCCCGGACUGGACAGGAUGCCGGCUGUCUCUUGGUCCUCUUCAUUGGGUGCCUUGAGGUGGCCUGUGCGUUUACUUUGAAAAAAUUAGAGUGCUUAAAGCAGGCGUGACGCCUGAAUAACAGUGCAUGGAAUAAUGGAAUAGGAACUCUUGCCUAUUGUGUUGGUUUCUGGAUAAGAGUUAAUGAUUGAGAGGGACAGACGGGGGCAUUCGUAUUGCAGCGCUAGAGGUGAAAUUCUUGGACCGUUGCAAGACGAACUACUGCGAAAGCAUUUGCCAAGAAUGUCUUCAUUGAUCAAGAACGAAAGUUAGAGGUUCGAAGGCGAUCAGAUACCGCCCUAGUUCUAACCAUAAACGAUGCCAACCAGCGAUCCGCCUGAGUUCCUCAAAUGACUCGGCGGGCAGCUUCCGGGAAACCAAAGUAUUUGGGUUCCGGGGGGAGUAUGGUUGCAAAGCUGAAACUUAAAGGAAUUGACGGAAGGGCACCACCAGGAGUGGAGCCUGCGGCUUAAUUUGACUCAACACGGGAAAACUUACCCGGCCCGGACACCGGAAGGAUUGACAGAUUGAGAGCUCUUUCUUGAUUCGGUGGAUGGUGGUGCAUGGCCGUUCUUAGUUGGUGGAGCGAUUUGUCUGGUUAAUUCCGAUAACGAACGAGACUCUAGCCUAUUAAAUAGACGUGUGGUCUCUUGUGCCAUGCGGUCUUCUUAGAGGGACAAGCGGCUCCUAGCCGCACGAAACAGAGCAAUAACAGGUCUGUGAUGCCCUUAGAUGUCCGGGGCCGCACGCGCGCUACACUGAAGGAAGCAGCGUGUGACUAUCCCUGUUCGAAUGAACUGGGUAACCCGAUAAACCUCCUUCGUGAUUGGAAUAGGGGCUUGAAAUUGUUCCCCUUGAACGAGGAAUUCCCAGUAAGCGCGAGUCAUAAGCUCGCGUUGAUUACGUCCCUGCCCUUUGUACACACCGCCCGUCGCUACUACCGAUUGAAUGAUUUANUGAGGUCUUCGGACUGAAACCCGAUGCGGCCUACGGUUGCGCCGGANUGUCNGAAAGAUGACCCANCUUGAUUAUUUA